CACAGGUGUGUGUUUGGUUUGUGUGAAUGUGUGCUAUACAAAAGACAGAGGGAGGAGCACACAAUUCAGAGGCACGAUCAGAGCAAGAUGGAGAGAUGGAGAUAGACUGAGAGGGGUUCUGUAUCAAAGCUACGGCAAAAAAGAGAUCUCAUUCAAACCAAUUUGUGCCAGAAGAUAAUUCUAUUGCUACAGACGUCCUGCGCUCUCUGGAUAAUGGCCCACAUCCAGACUCCAUCAAGUGGUAAACAGUAAAAGAGCCACCGCCAGUGAAUCCCAGUGAGACCAUAUCAGCACACAGGAGGCAGGUUUAAUCAUGGAAAGGGUCUGGUUUCCACUGAUAAGACUGCAAACAGUACUCGGAGGAAAACAAUUCAAACCAAAGUCCUUUCAUUCCUCCUUUCACAAGAUCCAGGAUGUGAUUUUUUUUCUUCUUUGUUUUGUCUCCGUCAGAAAUAAAGUCUUGUAAUUUAUGAGGCAGAGCUGAGAUUAAACUAAUGAAAUAAAUCCAUCAAUUGUUAA